rnacentral:rRNA from 1 species
GUAGUCUACGCCGUAAACGAUGGAUGCUGGCUGUUGGAGGAUUCGACCCCUUCAGUAGCGAAGUUAACGCGUUAAGCAUCCCGCCUGGGGAGUACGAGCGCAAGCUUAAAACUCAAAGGAAUUGACGGGGACCCGCACAAGCGGUGGAGCGUGCGGUUUAAUUCGACGCAACGCGAAGAACCUUACCUGGGCUUGACAUGUUCCUGACAGGUGUGGAAACACACCCUCCCUUCGGGGCAGGAUCACAGGUGGUGCAUGGCUGUCGUCAGCUCGUGUCGUGAGAUGUUGGGUUAAG